AUGCCCCAGAUUGUUACUGGCAGUCCAGCGCUUACAGUUUUAGCAGGCAGCACGUUCCUGCAAGUUACCUUCUAAUGGCAGGGUUCACGUUCACCUCUCCUCCUCCUGACCCCCAAGGCCUUCAAAUUGAGAUUUUACACUGAAGCCUCACAAUUUGGAGCACAAGCUUUCUCGCCAGUAGCAUUUCACAGUGCUGCAAACCGAUUCCUUCAUCCUGCUCCCUUGAAGCUGGUCACCUGCAAGCCUGACUCACAGCAGGGCUCAGCUGUGAGCUGCUGACCUGGUGAUUUCCUGGCACCAUCUGUUUCCUAAUGCCAGCUCUGGCUGCUGCUGUGCCCUCUUUGAACUCUGCACUCCUCUCCCUGGUCUCACUGGCAAAAUAUUAAUGAGGAAUUGCUUGAAUUUUACUGCUUUAUACAGCUCUGUGGACUACUUGUCUGGUCUGAAGGAAUGAACAUUUGGGAACAGUGCCCUUGGCAUUUACCAGAGCAGAAAGAAGGAAUGGUCUGUGCCCAAAGAUCCAGAAUAUGGGAAGAAGAACAUGCAAACAUUACAGAGGACAAACAGUACCCUGCUUCUUUCCCAGCCAAAGCUCUGGGGAUGUGCAAAAGGCAGAAGAGGGAAGCAAUAUAAAAAUGUAAAUAGAAGUUAGUUAAAACUGGCUGUAUUUUAAAAAUUACUCUUCACUUAUUCAGGGCUGUUCUAUAUAACUACAUCCUAUGAUAUUCUUGUGCAAAGAAUAACUUUAUGACUAUUACCUAAAUAACAGAUUUAUGCCAUGGAAGACAAAACUGAUCCAUAAAAGUUUCAACUUAUUUUCUGGGAAAAUCCAGCAUUUUUAUAAAAACAUUGUAGUUUCAUAUAAACAUUAAUUUAAAACAAGCACUGGCAAAAAGACGGGGGAGAGGAGGAAGCUUACUUUAUAAAACUCCUUGAAAGGUUUACUUAAGAAAUACUUUUGAGGGACUAUUUUAAACCUAAAAUUGUGCUUAGAGGCAAGGAGGAUCAUUCUGCUACAGAAGAAAAGGGGCUUGCCAAGGGCAUAAUUUAUUUACUCAGAAAGAUAAAGCUUAACAAGUUUAAUGGACUGGUUGAAUUUUCACAUAAAGAAAAUAGAGGGAGACAAUGCUCUCAAGUAAAGCGGGAAGAUUUUGGCAUUCCUUUUAAGAAUAGGAGUGUAACUGUAGCUGAGGUACUUGUCCAAAGUGUGUCAAAGAGCAUUCAGUGGAUUCCCAGAGAGGUUUUCAGGGGCAUUUUAAAAAGAGGGUUAAAGAGAAAAUAGCACAGAAUGAGCUAUUAAGGUUUACGAUGUGAGCCAGAUUUUCAAAGGACUUCACAGACUGGAGUCAAAGGCGGCCUAAAUGAGACAGGGCUUGAAAGUUAGGCUCCAGAAAGGGAAUUCGUGGUGCUGAAUCUGCCUCUGAUGACCAAUUUGUAUCGACUGGGGAAAGUCAUAAAUCAGAGGAGGAGAUUUGCAGCACUCAGAUGCUGAAUGGCGAGAAGCAUAAGCCAGCCAGGCAGUAGUCCAGCUAUCAGGAUCAGGACGAGGAAUGGUGGAGAGCUCCCUUCAAAUCUGCUCUAUCUUAUCCAAAUCAAGCAAGUGAGCUAUUUCUGGGGGGAGCUUCACUUUCAGUUAUUGACCACUUUGCUAUGAAAUGCAGCUUAA